GUAAGGAAUAUUGGUCAAUGGGGGCAACCCUGAACCAGCCAUGCCGCGUGAAGGAUGAAGGCGUUAUGCGUUGUAAACUUCUUUUGUAUGGGAAGAAUGACAGGGAUUUAUCCUUGGAGAGACGGUACCAUACGAAUAAGCACCGGCUAACUUCGUGCUAGCAGCCGCGGUAAUACGAAGGGUGCAAGCGUUAAUCGGAAUUACUGGGCGUAAAGCGCGCGUAGGUGGUUUUGUAAGUUGGAGGUGAAAUCCCCGGGCUCAACCUGGGAACUGCCUCCAAAACUGCAUGACUAGAGUACGGUAGAGGGUAGUGGAAUUUCCUGUGUAGCGGUGAAAUGCGUAGAUAUAGGAAGGAACACCAGUGGCGAAGGCGACUACCUGGACUGAUACUGACACUGAGGUGCGAAAGCGUGGGGAGCAAACAGGAUUAGAUACCCUAGUAGUCC
rnacentral:rRNA from 1 species